CCCUACCCCCUGCCGCGUUGUCUCGGCGGGAGGUCUGGGGCGGGCCCGUCCCGCCCCCGGCCCCCGCCGGCGGCGCCGAACUCUGCAUCUGCGAAGCGUACUGCACUAUCUGAUUCAGAUUUUUAAAACAAGUCAAAACUUUCAACAACGGAUCUCUUGGUUCUGGCAUCGAUGAAGAACGCAGCGAAAUGCGAUAAGUAAUGUGAAUUGCAGAAUUCAGUGAAUCAUCGAAUCUUUGAACGCACAUUGCGCCCGGCAGCAAUCUGCCGGGCAUGCCUGUCCGAGCGUCAUUUCUCCCCUCGAGCGCGGUCGUCCCUCCGGGGCCGGCCGCCGCCCGGUGUUGGGGCCCUGCGGGCGCGAGCCCGCAGCCCCCUAAAUGAAGUGGCGGCCCCGCCGCGGCGCCCCCUGCGUAGUAGUUCUCUCUCGCAUCGGGCCCCGGCGAAGGCCAGCCGUCGAACCUAACUUUCUAUGGUUUGACCUCGGAUCAGGUAGGGAUACCCGCUGAACUUAAGCAU
rnacentral:rRNA from 1 species